rnacentral:piRNA from 1 species
UAGAAUAUUGAUCCCUAUAAAUUCACGUGCCU